rnacentral:lncRNA from 1 species
UUUUUUAAAUUUCUUUUCUGAACUGUUUGAGUUGAGAGUAGAAGUGGUAUGGAUGGCUGCUGGAAAAUUGAGAGAGAGAACAACUGAUCCUCUCCCAAAUGGCCUCAAGUUAACUUAAAUACUAGCUACUUUAGCGUUUAUAUUUUAUUUUAAUUCCAACUCUAUCCUUGGAUAUUAUUAUGUGACAAAAUGAGUUUCCACUUGAUGAAAUAAAAUCAACCAAAU